ACAAAAUCAACCAAGACUACUCAUAAGUUAUGUUUUUCAACCUAAUGAUAACAUUUCUUCUAUCGCAUCAAGAUUCGGGAUAACCCCACAAUCCAUAACACAAAUUAAUGGAAAUAAUACCAAGAUUCUUGAUACCCUUUUCAUCCCUCUUUCUAAUCUACCUAAUCUUACACAGCCAGCAUCUUCAAACACCCCACCCCCACCCCCAGCACCAGCACCAGUAAUUCAAGAAAAUGACAGAAAAGAGACUGUCAUAGGGUUAGCAAUUGGUUUAGGGGUUUGUGGGUUGCUGUUGAUUUUGAUUCUUGGUUUGUUUUACAAGGAGAAAACAGUAAAGAAAGAAAAGUAUGGUGAUGUAGAAAGGCAAAAAAGUUUGUAUCUUGGAUCAAAAAAGAAGUCUUUUGUUGAUAAAGAUGUUGAAGUGAAUUUGUUGGCUGAUUUAUCAGAGUGUUUGGAUAAGUAUAAAAUGUAUAAAAUGGUACAACUUUGGGAAGCAACAAAUGGAUUUGAUGAAGGGUGUUUGAUUCAAGGGUCUGUGUUUAAAGGAACAAUUGAUGAAGAAGUGUUUGCAAUCAAAAAAAUGAAAUGGAAUGCCCGCGAAGAACUCAAAAUCCUGCAAAAGGUAAAAAAAAAAACGUUACGUAAAAUUCUGCAUAUAUACGUAUCCACUGCAGAAUUGCUUUUGUGUACUACUAGUAAAAAUCAUUUUAUUAAGGAUAACAUGAACACUUUAAAGUUAAAUUGUUACUGGAUAGAAUAUAUGUCAUUCUUUUCACCUUUUUUUGUUUGUGUAGGUGAACCAUGGGAAUUUGGUGAAGCUAGAGGGUUUUUGCAUAGACCCUAAAGAAGCAAAUUGCUACUUAGUCUAUGAGUAUGUUGAAAAUGGUUCACUACAUUCUUGGCUUCACGGUGAAAAACCUGAAAAAUUGAGCUGGAAAACAAGACUAAGGAUUGCCACUGAUGUUGCAAAUGGUCUCUUAUACAUUCAUGAACAUACAAGGCCAAGAGUUGUCCACAAAGACAUCAAGAGUAGCAACAUUCUCCUAGACUCCAACAUGAGAGCCAAAGUUGCCAAUUUUGGUCUAGCUAAAUCAGGGUGCAAUGCUAUAACAAUGCACAUUGUAGGUACUCAGGGGUACAUCUCCCCUGAGUACCUCACUGAUGGGGUUGUAUCCACUAAAAUGGAUGUUUUCUCAUUCGGGGUUGUGUUGCUCGAGCUUGUGUCAGGGAAGGAGGCUAUCGAUGAUGAAGGGAAAGUCUUGUGGGCAAAAAUUAGCGAUUUUUCUGAAGGGAGUGAAGAGAGGAAGGUGAGGAAAUUGCAAGAAUGGAUGGAUGAAAGUCUAUUGAGGGAAGAAUUAACAAUGGAAAGUGUUGUGAAUGUGAUGACUGUGGCUAUUUCAUGUUUGAAUAAAGAUCCUUCAAGAAGGCCAGGGAUGAUUGAAAUUGUGUAUGCCUUAUCUAAAAGUAUUGAUCUAUUUUCUGAUGUUUCAGAGGAAGGACCAUCUCCAAGGCAAGUCACAGCAAGAUAGACUACAUAAUAGUACUUGCAUAUUAUGUAAAGUUGUUUUGAAGUGGAGUAGCAUUUUGUGUUUUGAGGUUUGUACUUUACUUUAAAGUUUGCUUCUAUAUAAGUGUAAUAUUACUCCUAUAUUAUCUUUUCUAGUAGUAGUGGUAAAUCCAAUUUCGAAUAAGAGCAUGUUUAAGGUUGUUCUAGUGGAAUAUAUAUUAGUACCACAUAAGACACUUGUAAUGAAUUUAUCUUUAUGUUAUGUUGCUUGGAUUCUUCAAAAAUGAUCUUGCACUUGUGUCAAUUCUUUAAAAUUGCAUGUAUUAGUUAUGCGGUUUUCUAAAUUACCUCCUAAAUCAGCUAUCAAACAUGGUAUUACGUAACUUAACCUGCAUAACUCAACUCCAAACCAACUACCAAACGACCCUGAAUGAAAAGUAUUUCCCCUAACUCUUGCAAUAGUUUAAUAUACCUUGGAAAAAGACGUAUCUCAGAAAUAGCUAGUCCAAACAUGUGAAAACAUUCUGGAGAAAAACAACAAAUAUAAACACGAGUAUUUUCUACAAUAUGGUUGACCAAAAACUCUUCUAGGUGGGACCAUCAAAUUGAAAAAAAACCCAUCUUCCUUUAAUGUUAAAGACAAUACCAUAUGAGAAAUUAAACAACAACAACCAAUCAAAUAAUGCAAAAAAUCCCCAUCACUCAUUAAAUGGUCAAAAACCAAGACUAUGACAAAAAACAAGAACUUUGGUAUAUAAACCUCUUAUAACUCCAUCAUAUUAUAUACACACACAUCUCUCCUUCAACCAAAACCAAGAAAAUGAUAACAAGACCAAUAUUUGUUUUUUCACUUCUCUUAUUCUUAUCAUUCAUAUUCAACCAAAACAUAAUAUGUUAUGCACAAGAGCCACCAAGCAUCACAGGAUAUACUUGUAAUCCUAACCAAUUCAAUCCAUGUCAAACUUAUGUGUUAUACAGAGCUAGAGGACCAGACUUUCUUGAUUUAGCCUCAAUUGGUGAUCUUUUUUCAGUAAGUAGACUAAUGAUAGCAAACCCUAGUAAUAUUUCCAACCCAAACACAACUCUUGUUAAUGAUCAACCCCUUUUUAUCCCCAUCACAUGUUCUUGUAACAACAUCAACACAACAUAUGGUAGCAUAUCUUAUGCUGGCUUUAACUACACUUUCAAAUCAGGUGACACUAUGUAUGGUAUAUCAACAUCUAAAUACCAAAAUCUUACUACUUAUCAAUCUGUUGAGGCUGUUAAUCCCACAGUUGUAGCAACCAACAUUGAUGUAGGCCAGACCAUAAAAUUCCCAAUUUUUUGCAAGUGUCCAAACACGACACAAAAUCAACCAAGACUACUCAUAAGUUAUGUUUUUCAACCUAAUGAUAACAUUUCUUCUGUCGCCUCAAGAUUCAGGGUAACCCCACAAUCUAUAACACAAAUUAAUGGAAAUAACACCAAGAUUCUUGAUACCCUUUUCAUCCCUCUUUCUAAUCUACCUAAUCUUACACAGCCAGCAUCUUCAAACACCCCACCCCCACCCCCAGCACCAGCACCAGUAAUUCAAGAAAAUGACAGAAAAGAGACUGUCAUAGGGUUAGCAAUUGGUUUAGGGGUUUGUGGGUUGCUGUUGAUUUUGAUUCUUGGUUUGUUUUACAAGGAGAAAACAGUAAAGAAAGAAAAGUAUGGUGAUGUAGAAAGGCAAAAAAGUUUGUAUCUUGGAUCAAAAAAGAAGUCUUUUGUUGAUAAAGAUGUUGAAGUGAAUUUGUUGGCUGAUUUAUCAGAGUGUUUGGAUAAGUAUAAAAUGUAUAAAAUGGUACAACUUUGGGAAGCAACAAAUGGAUUUGAUGAAGGGUGUUUGAUUCAAGGGUCUGUGUUUAAAGGAACAAUUGAUGAAGAAGUGUUUGCAAUCAAAAAAAUGAAAUGGAAUGCCCGCGAAGAACUCAAAAUCCUGCAAAAGGUAAAAAAAAAAACGUUACGUAAAAUUCUGCAUAUAUACGUAUCCACUGCAGAAUUGCUUUUGUGUACUACUAGUAAAAAUCAUUUUAUUAAGGAUAACAUGAACACUUUAAAGUUAAAUUGUUACUGGAUAGAAUAUAUGUCAUUCUUUUCACCUUUUUUUGUUUGUGUAGGUGAACCAUGGGAAUUUGGUGAAGCUAGAGGGUUUUUGCAUAGACCCUAAAGAAGCAAAUUGCUACUUAGUCUAUGAGUAUGUUGAAAAUGGUUCACUACAUUCUUGGCUUCACGGUGAAAAACCUGAAAAAUUGAGCUGGAAAACAAGACUAAGGAUUGCCACUGAUGUUGCAAAUGGUCUCUUAUACAUUCAUGAACAUACAAGGCCAAGAGUUGUCCACAAAGACAUCAAGAGUAGCAACAUUCUCCUAGACUCCAACAUGAGAGCCAAAGUUGCCAAUUUUGGUCUAGCUAAAUCAGGGUGCAAUGCUAUAACAAUGCACAUUGUAGGUACUCAGGGGUACAUCUCCCCUGAGUACCUCACUGAUGGGGUUGUAUCCACUAAAAUGGAUGUUUUCUCAUUCGGGGUUGUGUUGCUCGAGCUUGUGUCAGGGAAGGAGGCUAUCGAUGAUGAAGGGAAAGUCUUGUGGGCAAAAAUUAGCGAUUUUUCUGAAGGGAGUGAAGAGAGGAAGGUGAGGAAAUUGCAAGAAUGGAUGGAUGAAAGUCUAUUGAGGGAAGAAUUAACAAUGGAAAGUGUUGUGAAUGUGAUGACUGUGGCUAUUUCAUGUUUGAAUAAAGAUCCUUCAAGAAGGCCAGGGAUGAUUGAAAUUGUGUAUGCCUUAUCUAAAAGUAUUGAUCUAUUUUCUGAUGUUUCAGAGGAAGGACCAUCUCCAAGGCAAGUCACAGCAAGAUAGACUACAUAAUAGUACUUGCAUAUUAUGUAAAGUUGUUUUGAAGUGGAGUAGCAUUUUGUGUUUUGAGGUUUGUACUUUACUUUAAAGUUUGCUUCUAUAUAAGUGUAAUAUUACUCCUAUAUUAUCUUUUCUAGUAGUAGUGGUAAAUCCAAUUUCGAAUAAGAGCAUGUUUAAGGUUGUUCUAGUGGAAUAUAUAUUAGUACCACAUAAGACACUUGUAAUGAAUUUAUCUUUAUGUUAUGUUGCUUGGAUUCUUCAAAAAUGAUCUUGCACUUGUGUCAAUUCUUUAAAAUUGCAUGUAUUAGUUAUGCGGUUUUCUAAAUUACCUCCUAAAUCAGCUAUCAAACAUGGUAUUACGUAACUUAACCUGCAUAACUCAACUCCAAACCAACUACCAAACGACCCUGAAUGAAAAGUAUUUCCCCUAACUCUUGCAAUAGUUUAAUAUACCUUGGAAAAAGACGUAUCUCAGAAAUAGCUAGUCCAAACAUGUGAAAACAUUCUGGAGAAAAACAACAAAUAUAAACACGAGUAUUUUCUACAAUAUGGUUGACCAAAAACUCUUCUAGGUGGGACCAUCAAAUUGAAAAAAAACCCAUCUUCCUUUAAUGUUAAAGACAAUACCAUAUGAGAAAUUAAACAACAACAACCAAUCAAAUAAUGCAAAAAAUCCCCAUCACUCAUUAAAUGGUCAAAAACCAAGACUAUGACAAAAAACAAGAACUUUGGUAUAUAAACCUCUUAUAACUCCAUCAUAUUAUAUACACACACAUCUCUCCUUCAACCAAAACCAAGAAAAUGAUAACAAGACCAAUAUUUGUUUUUUCACUUCUCUUAUUCUUAUCAUUCAUAUUCAACCAAAACAUAAUAUGUUAUGCACAAGAGCCACCAAGCAUCACAGGAUAUACUUGUAAUCCUAACCAAUUCAAUCCAUGUCAAACUUAUGUGUUAUACAGAGCUAGAGGACCAGACUUUCUUGAUUUAGCCUCAAUUGGUGAUCUUUUUUCAGUAAGUAGACUAAUGAUAGCAAACCCUAGUAAUAUUUCCAACCCAAACACAACUCUUGUUAAUGAUCAACCCCUUUUUAUCCCCAUCACAUGUUCUUGUAACAACAUCAACACAACAUAUGGUAGCAUAUCUUAUGCUGGCUUUAACUACACUUUCAAAUCAGGUGACACUAUGUAUGGUAUAUCAACAUCUAAAUACCAAAAUCUUACUACUUAUCAAUCUGUUGAGGCUGUUAAUCCCACAGUUGUAGCAACCAACAUUGAUGUAGGCCAGACCAUAAAAUUCCCAAUUUUUUGCAAGUGUCCAAACACGACACAAAAUCAACCAAGACUACUCAUAAGUUAUGUUUUUCAACCUAAUGAUAACAUUUCUUCUGUCGCCUCAAGAUUCAGGGUAACCCCACAAUCUAUAACACAAAUUAAUGGAAAUAACACCAAGAUUCUUGAUACCCUUUUCAUCCCUCUUUCUAAUCUACCUAAUCUUACACAGCCAGCAUCUUCAAACACCCCACCCCCACCCCCAGCACCAGCACCAGUAAUUCAAGAAAAUGACAGAAAAGAGACUGUCAUAGGGUUAGCAAUUGGUUUAGGGGUUUGUGGG
rnacentral:lncRNA from 1 species